rnacentral:rRNA from 1 species
UACAGAGGGUGCAAGCGUUAAUCGGAAUUACUGGGCGUAAAGCGCGCGUAGGUGGUUCGUUAAGUUGGAUGUGAAAUCCCCGGGCUCAACCUGGGAACUGCAUUCAAAACUGACGAGCUAGAGUAUGGUAGAGGGUGGUGGAAUUUCCUGUGUAGCGGUGAAAUGCGUAGAUAUAGGAAGGAACACCAGUGGCGAAGGCGACCACCUGGACUGAUACUGACACUGAGGUGCGAAAGCGUGGGGAGCGAACGGG